UACGUAGGGGGCAAGCGUUGUCCGGAUUUAUUGGGCGUAAAGCGCGCGUAGGCGGAUCUGCAAGUCGGGGGUGAAAUCCCGAGGCUCAACCUCGGAACUGCCUUCGAUACUGCGGGUCUCGAGUCCGGGAGAGGUGAGUGGAAUUCCUAGUGUAGAGGUGAAAUUCGUAGAUAUUAGGAAGAACACCAGUGGCGAAGGCGGCUCACUGGCCCGGUACUGACGCUGAGGCGCGAAAGCGUGGGGAGCAAACAGG
rnacentral:rRNA from 1 species